UGCGUAGGCGGUUUGGUAAGUCUUGUGUGAAAUCUACAGGCUCAACUUGUAGUCUGCACGAGAAACUGCCGGGCUUGAGUGUGGGAGAGGUGAGUGGAAUUCCUGGUGUAGCGGUGAAAUGCGUAGAUAUCAGGAGGAACACCUGUGGCGAAAGCGGCUCACUGGACCAUAACUGACGCUGAUGCACGAAAGCUAGGGGAGCAAACAGGAUUAGAUACCCUGGUAGUCCUAGCCCUAAACGAUGACUGCUUGGUGUGACGGGUACCCAAUCCCGCCGUGCCGUAGCUAACGCGUUAAGCAGUCCGCCUGGGGAUACGGUCGCAAGGCUAGAA
rnacentral:rRNA from 1 species